UACGGGGGGUGCGAGCGUUGUCCGGAAUCACUGGGCGUAAAGGGCGCGUAGGUGGCGUGAUAAGGGUGGGGUGAAAGCCCGGGGCUCAACCCCGGGUCUGCCAUGCCGACUGUCAGGCUAGAGUACUGUAGGGGCAGGCGGAAUUCCGGGUGUAGCGGUGGAAUGCGUAGAUAUCAGGAGGAACACCGGUGGCGAAGGCGGGUCUCUGGGCCGAUACUGACGCUGAGGAGCGAAAGCGUGGGGAGCGAACAGG
rnacentral:rRNA from 1 species